AUUGAACGCUGGCGGCAUGCCUUACACAUGCAAGUCGAACGGUAACAGGUCUUCGGAUGCUGACGAGUGGCGAACGGGUGAGUAAUACAUCGGAACGUGCCUAGUAGUGGGGGAUAACUACUCGAAAGAGUGGCUAAUACCGCAUGAGAUCUACGGAUGAAAGCAGGGGAUCGCAAGACCUUGUGCUACUAGAGCGGCCGAUGGCAGAUUAGGUAGUUGGUGGGAUAAAAGCUUACCAAGCCGACGAUCUGUAGCUGGUCGGAGAGGACGAUAAGCCCAACUGGUACUGAGACACGGCCCAGACUCCUACGGGCGGCAGCAGUGGGGAAUUUUGGACAAUGGGCGAAAGCCUGAUCCAGCAAUGCCGCGUGCAGGAUGAAGGCCUUCGGGUUGUAAACUGCUUUUGUACGGAACGAGAAGCCCCGGGUUAAUACCCUGGGGUCAUGACGGUACCGUAAGCAUAAGCACCGGCUAAUUACGUGCCAGCCGCCGCGGUAA
rnacentral:rRNA from 1 species